UAGGGAAUCUUCGGCAAUGGACGAAAGUCUGACCGAGCAACGCCGCGUGAGUGAAGAAGGUUUUCGGAUUGUAAAACUCUGUUGUUAGAGAAGAACAAGGACGUUAGUAACUGAACGUCCCCUGACGGUAUCUAACCAGAAAGCCACGGCUAACUACGUGCCAGCAGCCGCGGUAAUACGUAGGUGGCAAGCGUUGUCCGGAUUUAUUGGGCGUAAAGCGAGCGCAGGCGGUUUCUUAAGUCUGAUGUGAAAGCCCCCGGCUCAACCGGGGAGGGUCAUUGGAAACUGGGAGACUUGAGUGCAGAAGAGGAGAGUGGAAUUCCAUGUGUAGCGGUGAAAUGCGUAGAUAUAUGGAGGAACACCAGUGGCGAAGGCGGCUCUCUGGUCUGUAACUGACGCUGAGGCUCGAAAGCGUGGGGAGCAAACAGG
rnacentral:rRNA from 2 species